rnacentral:lncRNA from 1 species
AUUUUAAGCAGUUCAAUUAAUGCAUUUCUCCAUUUUCUGUUCAAACUAUGAAUGAACAAACAUUUCCAUGAAGAACAGAAGUGAAUUUUUAUGCUGAGAGCUUUCCUCUCCUAACCCUGCUCUAUGGCCUCAUAAAAAUCUCACCAUAUAACACAUACAAAUUCAAUGAGAUUCAUGUAUUUAAUAUUAAGCCCACACUUAAUAUUUUUAAUGGAUAUAGCUUAGUCCUCACCUCCUUGCCAGCUGGAGCUCCUGAAGGUUGGGCCUUUUGGCUGCUCCAUGUCACAGUGCAAGGGCACUUAGGGACAGCAGAAUGUCAUCACAAUCACAUGAGCACAGACUACAUGUGCUCUCUGAGGAGGAAGACACAUUGGGCUUGGCACAGCUGCACAUCAGCUAAUCCAGCAUAUGAACCUGCUUCAGAGAACUUCAAAGGGUCUCGAGGUCCCCUUCAUGCAGACCAUGAUGUAAAAACUACACCGGUAAAAUUCCCAAUUCCCAACAAGACAAAAAGCAGCAAGAAAAUCUCCAACAGCAGCUCUUCAGCUCCAGUGGCAGCUGUCAUUGCAGGUCAUAGCAGUGUCUGGUGGGAGAUAAUAUCCAAGAGCUCAAGCAAGUCUCAGGAGUACCGAUAUCACAGUUCUGCUGAUUUUGUUACUGAUUUGCUGCUUGACCUUAGAUAUGGUAGCUAUGAUGCAUAUAUUCCAUAGGAACACGAGGACAAGAAAGGAAGGUAAAUAAAUAAAACCUGUUUCAGGAAAGAAAACCUUAA